GCUCAGUAACACGUGGAUAACAUGCCCUAAGGAGGGGGAUAAUCUCGGGAAACUGAGGGUAAUACCCCAUAGGUCUAUUUUGCUGGAAUGCUAAUAGGCCGAAAACUCCGGUGCCUUAGGAUUGGUCUGCGGUCUAUCAGGCUGUAGUGGGUGUAAUGGACCCACUAGCCCGUGACGGAUAUGGGCCUUGAGAGAGGGAGCCCAGAGAUGGACUCUGAGACAUGAGUCCAGGCCCUACGGGGCGCAGCAGGCGCGAAACCUCCGCAAUGCGAGCAAUCGCGACGGGGGGACCCCAAGUGCCACUCUUAACGGGGUGGCUUUUCUUAAGUGUAAAAAGCUUCAGGAAUAAGGGCUGGGCAAGACCGGUGCCAGCAGCCGCGGUAAU
rnacentral:rRNA from 1 species